GUGGAUUAUAUACCCCGGUAGUCCACGCCGUAAACGAUGGAUACUAGGUGUAGGGGGUAUCGACUCCCUCUGUGCCGUAGUUAACACAAUAAGUAUCCCACCUGGGGAGUACGGCCGCAAGGUUGAAACUCAAAGGAAUUGACGGGGGCCCGCACAAGCAGUGGAGUAUGUGGUUUAAUUCGACGCAACGCGAAGAACCUUACCAGGGCUUGACAUAUACCGGAAUAUAUUAGAGAUAAUAUAGUCCUUCGGGACCGGUAUACAGGUGGUGCACGGCUGUCGUCAACU
rnacentral:rRNA from 1 species